CGGUGCUUAGUCGACUAAGCCACCCAAGUGAAAGGCCUGUCCCAGGCUGACCGUCCGUAGAUACAUUCUGAGCUGAAACAUCGCGAGCUUGCAAACGAGCCAGGGUGCUGACCAAGUAGCAAACACAAGGUCAAGACAGACUACGUGCACACACAAGACUGUUUCCAAACAGAAGGUCACUUGCAAAUGCAGAGCGGGAACUUGGCAACAGGCCCCUGGGAACAGAAAACGGGAGGACGGGAGGAAAGACAAUUUGAGACAAUAAAUAAAGAGCCCAGUGAGACUGGGCAGAGAAUUCUGCAUCAAACUCUGUGACUGUCUGUGUCUUUCUUGCUUAUCAUUCCUUGGUCCGAGGGUUAAAGAAAGCAACAGGCUUACAGAAAGCAACAACUGGCGCCCAACAUGGGGCACAAAGCAUUUUCCUUCCUCGUCAAGGAACCAGAGGGGUACAUCUGCUCACGAUACUGAAAAGUGUUGGGUGCCAUCCCGCUGGAUAAAGCCAAGGCAUGGCAAAGAGACAACGCUUCAAUGAGAUGGUGAAGGAGUUCCAUCAGUUGGAUCACCAGAGCCGGAGCUUCACAACCGGGACACAGAUGACAACACCACCCACCUUAGGACAGCUGAAAAAGAUGACACAAGAAGCUGAACGGAUUGUCCAACAUUCAGGCCAGAAACUUACCCCUUCCACUUUAUUUUUGGCAAUGCUGGCCGUGAUAUCUUGCCAGUCUUCUGCUGCUGGAGACAGAAACUCCAAGCAAUGAAAAAGCAACAAAGUGUUUAUGCACUCUUUCAUCUUAAAGAAAUAAAAAGGGGGAAAUGAAGGGCCUGUCCCAGGCUGACAAUGAAGAGCCUGUCCCAGGCUGACCAUCCCUAAUCGCAAGAUACAUUCUGAGCCGAACAUCCUAAGCUUGCAAACUAGCCAGGGUGCUGACCAAGUAGCAAACACAAGGUCAAGACAGACUACGUGCACACACAAGACUGUUUCCAAACAGAAGGUCACUUGCGAAUGCGGCGCAAACUUGGCAACAGGCCCCUGGGAACAGAAAACGGGAGGACGGGAGGAAAGACAAUUUGAGACAAUAAAUAAAGAGCCCAGUGAGACUGGGCAGAGAA